GGCAUGCGCGGGAAGCCAUGUGUCACGUUUGGCGAAGCUUCACGACUUUUGCGGAGGUCUUAUUUUUUUCGGUGAAAGCUGUUGCCGUUGGGACUCCCCGGAGGGGAGACACCCUGAGCAAGUCUUGUUAAUCAGGAAACAAAAAGGUGAUUCAAAAACUAAUGUUGGAAAGAAAAAGAGAUUCCUAAUCCUCUUCCUACAUUUAACAUCAUGACCCGGCAUAAACAGAAAAAAUCCAGCAAGAAAUCCAAACAUAGCAAGUCUUUUUUCCUCUCAUAGAAAAA